GUCUUUGUAGCGUAGUGGUUAUCGCGUCACCUUUACACGGUGAAGGUCCUCGGUUCGAGCCCGAGCAGAGACA
rfam:Edhazardia aedis TSNM 41457 supercont1.1002, whole genome shotgun sequence.